rfam:Apaloderma vittatum contig27605, whole genome shotgun sequence.
GGCUGGUUAGCUCAGUGGUUUGAGCGCAGUGCUGACAAUGAGCAACACUGAGGUCGCGGGUUCGAUUCCCGCUCGGUCC